UUUGCGCCUCCUGCGCGUCAGUACUUCUUGAACUUUGACCGCUUCUGAGCGGCGGCGCCGGGAGAUAGUACGCAUGCGUCGUUUCUUUGCAUGGCUAGCGUCCUUAUCCUAGUGGCGGCGGGAGCUGCGGUGGCCGCGCUGCUGGCACUGCGGCUGUGGGUUGUGCUCCAUUCUCGGGUCCUCGGGCCCCGUCAGUCUUGCAGUCUCUUGGUGGUGGCUGGGUCCGGUGGGCACACCACUGAGAUCCUGAGGCUGCUUGAGAACCUGUCCAAUGCUUACUCUCCUAGACAUUAUAUCAUUGCCGAUACUGAUGAAAUGAGUGCCCAUAAAAUACAUUCUUUUGAACAAAAUCGAGCUGAUACCACUACCAUGCUUUCCGAAUACUACAUUCACCGCAUUCCCAGAAGCCGGGAGGUUCAGCAGUCCUGGCUCUCCACGGUGCUCACCACCCUGUACUCCAUGUGGCUGUCCUUUCCCCUGACUCACAAAGUGAAGCCAGAUUUGGUCUCUAGCCUGCUGGCCCACCCUACAGAUUUUGGACUUGCCAUCUACCAAAUUCAUAUGGAACACACAUCCUUUCCAAUCACUCUGCAUUGCUGGGAACUAGUCACAUGACUCCAUUGAGACCGCUGGUGGAACAGGGAAGUGUGGUCCUUGACUGGGAAGCUACUUACCAACAAUUGUCCACUGUAGAAAAAGGAAACAGGACUUUGGUUGGUCAAAAAGGGAAAAAGAGAGAAGUAGAGGAAGCCAAGAAGCUACCUGGGAUGAUAGUGUAAGGAUGGCCCAAGGACCUAAUCAGUCAUUCCCCAGAUGCAAACCACCCUCGCAAAGGCAGCACGUCGGUGGGGAGAUGGUGCGCCAUUACAUGCUGGGGCACGGGAAGCUAGACUUCCAGGCCACCUGGUGCUGAACAUGAACACUGAGAGGAAGAGAGAGCACAAACAGGGGGAGCAGCAGGCAGAGGAAGAAGCAGGCUCUACACUGAGUAGGGAGCCCGACAUGGGGCUCGAUCCCAAGACCCCAAGAUCACCACCUGAGCCGAAGGUGGACGUUUAACCAACUGAGCCACCCAGGCACCCGGUGUGGUAAAUUUUUAAGAACUCCCAACUAAGUCCACGUUUUAGAGUCAGACCUGCUGUUCCAAUGCUAACACUACCAAUUAUUAGUUGUAAGGCUGGGCAAGUAACUUAACUCCACUGGAUCUGAUGUUUGUAAAACACAUUUUGUAAAACAUGUUUGUAAAACAUCUCUCUGUCUGUAAAAUGGGGACAAAAGAUGACCUGUUUUUUAUGUUUACUAUAAAAAUUAAAUAACUAACCAUGGGUCUGGCAUGUGAUAAGGGUUCUAUAAUGUUAAUUACAUAAUGAUUUUUUCAAGUUUUUUUUUUAGAUUUUAUUUAUUUAUUUAUUUAUUUGAGAGAGAGAGAAAGGAUGAGUGAGAGAGCAUAAGCCAGGGAGAGGAACAGACCCCCCACUGAGCAGAGAGCCCAAGGCGGGGCUCAAUCCCAAGACCCUGAGAUCAAGACCUGAGCCGAAGGCAAACAUUUAACUGACUGAGCCACCCAGAUGCUCCAAGAUAUAUAUGUGUGUGUGUGUGUGUGUGUGUGUGUGUGUGUGUAUACUUUUUUUUUUAACGUAAUCUCUGCAUCCAAUGUGGUACUCCAACUCAUAACCCUGAGAUCAAUAGUCACCCAGUCUUCCAAUGGAGCCAACUAGGCGUCCCUAAUUACAUAAUGAUUAAAAAGAGAAUCUGGGGGCACCUGGCUGACUCAGUCAGUGGACCAUGUGACUCUUGAUCUCAGUGUUCAAGCCCCACAUUGAGUGUAGAGAUUACUUAAAAAUAAAAUCUUUAAGGAAAAUUAGUAAAAUAAAGGGACUAGACAUCGACUUGGAAAGAAUCCAUCAAACUUAUUAUCAUUACCAGGACUAUUGGUAAUCUACGGAUGGUGUUCGUGCAGAGCAGAAUUAGCAUGGGAAGCCUGGACGGCAAGCCGUGAAGAGGCCUGCUUGCAAGGUUGCCUCUUGGCAGGUGUCCAAACUUAGGUUUUGAGAAUGUUCCCACCCGUAACUGAUAAGGGUGGCUCGCUGUGCCUAAACUGUUUAUUCAAACAACCUGAUUUAUGCUGAGUACCUGCUUUCCUUCUGAGAGCCCAGCAUCUGUGUGUCUGCCAGGCAGAGGCUGCCUGCAUGACCGGCCUCCACACAAGACCCCAGCCACUGAGUCUCUACCCAGUUUGCCUGAUUGGCGACCUUUACGGAUGCUCUCACGAGGAGAACUCACUGCCGGGAGGAUUAGCAUGUCCUGUGCAGCUCCAGGGGGAGAGGACCCUUGGAAGCUGACACCUGGUUUUCCCCAGACUUCCCCUAUAGGCUCCUUCCCUUUGCUGACGGCUUGGUAUCCUGUGGCUUUAAUAAAGCAGAGCCUUGAAAACGACAGGAACAGGAUGUCGAAUCCUGUGAGGUAUCCUUGGGGUCACUGAACCUGGGGAUGGUCUUGGGGACCUCCCAACAGAGCACUAAGCUAGUUGCCUCUGAGCGAAAAACUGCUUUUGGGGAAAUUCUACAGCAUUAUCUAAUGUAAUGUCGAUUAAUGAGCACACUAGUUCAUAAAAAGACUCAGAAACAUAGGACCUGGGGAAAAAAAAAGGUUCCUGAAGAAGUAAAGGAUAAGAAUGCUGUGUCCUCAAUGACCGUUCUCUGAAAUUAAGAGCUAUUGGGUAUCUCUCAGCACUGUAAAAGUUUACUCUAAUGUUUAGAGUAAAGCAGAAAAUGGCAGUGCUCUUGUUUACAAUUUUUAGAUAACUGAGCUUUAAAAGUUCUCAUGCUCCUUUCAUAACCAUUCCUUCCCAGUGGACUUGAUUUCAUUCCCACUAUUAAUGAAGCUAAUUCUGAUAUUCAUUCGCAAAUCUUGUGUGCUUUCAGAGUAAAGUGAAUGUAUCACGUUAUAGAGAUUUCUAGACAAAUUGCUUCAGCAGUUCAAAACAUACUUAUCCAAUAACAAUUAAUUGAAUACUUUCUCCAUGCCAGGCAGACUUGUAAAAUUCUCGGGUAUAACUUGAAUCCUGCCAUUUUCAUUAUGAUACCGCAGAACGCAGCUUACAGGCCCUUUUUAGGCAAGCCUCCCAAAAUUCCUUGCUUUAUUUUCUCUUAAAGACGAAAGACAAAAGUGUGGAUUUGGGGUAUGUUGUUAUGCUAGGCUUUGUAUCAAAUAAACUAGUCAAGCGCGCAUUGUUUUCCAUUCCUUUGAUGAAAUGCAGAUUUUCCAUUAAAGAAGCAGAUCCUCCAUUUAAAAAGCAUUUGAUAGAAUGGUACUUCUUUGCAGCUGGUUAAAUUUAGAACACCGAGCACAGUUCCAUGUUAGACUCUUCUCCAAGUCUGGGGUAGAGCGUCCUCGGUUGAGAGUGAGCGAGGCGCUGGUGUUUAAUGCUGUCCAAGCUCAGGAGGGAGGGACACCCUGCAGUCCUGGUUCACAUAACAGUGCGGGAAGAUCGCUGUGACACUAUUGCCCUGGAGCACAGCCCCUCCUCCAGCAGGCCGACAGAUUUCGCAGAAGUGCCAGGGCCAAAACUCUAAGUAUUUUCCUAUUAGUCUCAAAUCAAGACACUCUCUGAUCCUCCUACAGGCCGAACCCUUCUGUUCUUUGAGGUAGUCUGAAAGUUUACAGACUAUAACUGGUAAAAAUAAAAAAAUAAAAAUAAAACAAAAUAAAAAAUAAAAGAAACGGAGAGUAAAUGCACCCAGCUGCAAAAGGGUACGUUAAGUUCUAUCGGUAUCUCUCCACAGAGCACCGGCACCUGCAAACACUGAGCUGGGAACAAAAACCUUGUUUUGUUCCCUUGCCUUCAAGGAGCACAGCAUCAGGUUGAGGGUCGCCCAACAAGGCUCUUUGGUGUCAAGGAACAGAGGCCCCCUGGGGCUGAGCUUAUGCAAAGCCAAGGAUUUAUGAUAAGCAAGGGCAAGCAAGCUGCUGGGAGUCAGUAAGACACUGAAGUCGAGACGUAGGUGCCAACUGAAAGCAGUGUGGUUCUCCUCCGCUCCUCUCUCCUCUCCUCUGCUUUUUCUCGUGGUCUCUAUUUCCCGUUGACUCUCUAGUGACCACCUCUCUGUGGGAGCCUGAAACCAGCUAAGGCUGCGUGUUGUGUCUCCCCCUCUAUGAGAUAGAGUUGUAGCUGGACACAAGGCCACUUAGCCAAAGGCCACCCUUCCAGGCCUUGCCAUUGGCUCCUGCCAGUGCAGUACAGACAGAAGUGAUAUGUACAACUUCUAGAUUAGGCUCUUAAAUGGAAAGGAGUGAUCUCCUCUCUUCUUUUUCCCUCCUUCCUGCGUAGGCGUGGGUAAAGAUGGCAGGAGAGAAAGACUUUGCCUUUGACCUGGAGAUGAAAGCUGCCAGUAGAGGAUGUUGGAGCCAUGAGAGAAAGAGCACAAGCACAAAGGAAGAGGGAAAGAAUCUCAAGCAGACUCCCCACAGAGCACAGAGCCCAAUGCGGGGCUCAGUCUCAGGACCCUGACACCAUGACCUAAGCCAACAUCAAGAGUCAGAACGCUGACCCGACUGAGCCAUGCAGGUGCCCCUAUAUUGGUUCUUUAUUAAAGAAACUGGAAACUGUAA